rnacentral:rRNA from 1 species
GAUGAACGCUGGCGGUGUGCCUAAUACAUGCAAGUCGAGCGAACAGACGAGGAGCUUACUCCUCUGACGUUAGCGGCGGACGGGUGAGUAACACGUGGAUAACCUACCUAUAAGACUGGGAUAACUUCGGGAAACCGGAGCUAAUACCGGAUAACAUGUUGAACGGCAUGGUUCAACAGUGAAAGAGGGUCUUGCUGUCACUUAUAGAUGGCUCCGCGUCGCAUUAGCUAGUUGGUAAGGUAACGGCUUACCAAGGCAAGGAUGCGUAGCCGACCUGAGAGGGUGAUCGGCCACACUGGAACUGAGACACGGUCCAGACUCCUACGGGAGGCAGCAGUAGGGAAUCUUCCGCAAUGGGCGAAAGCCUGACGGAGCAACGCCGCGUGAGUGAAGAAGGUCUUCGGAUCGUAAAACUCUGUUAUUAGGGAAGAACAAAUGUGUAAGUAACUAUGCACGUCUUGACGGUACCUAAUCAGAAAGCCACGGCUAACUACGUG